rnacentral:rRNA from 1 species
AAUGAAACUUGAUCUUUAUGAUACGAGCAUGGUAUUUCAGGGAAAGUUUUUUUAAAUUUAAUAAUUACAGUUAUUUUAAUUUGUGAAGAAACAAUUAUAUAAAUUAAGGACAAGAAGACCCUAAGAAUUUAAGAAUUCUUAUGUUACUUAAAUAUAAAAUAGGAAUUCUUAGUUGGGGCAACUAAAAAACAUUAUAAACUUUUUUUUCUUUAAAAUGACCCAUUAUUA